rnacentral:rRNA from 1 species
AACGAACGCUGGCGGCAGGCUUAACACAUGCAAGUCGAGCGCCCCGCAAGGGGAGCGGCAGACGGGUGAGUAACGCGUGGGAAUCUACCCGUCUCUACGGAAUAACGCAUGGAAACGUGUGCUAAUACCGUAUACGUCCUUCGGGAGAAAGAUUUAUCGGAGAUGGAUGAGCCCGCGUUGGGUUAGCUAGUUGGUGGGGUAAAGGCCUACCAAGGCGACGAUCCAUAGCUGGUCUGAGAGGAUGAUCAGCCACACUGGGACUGAGACACGGCCCAGACUCCUACGGGAGGCAGCAGUGGGGAAUAUUGGACAAUGGGCGCAAGCCUGAUCCAGCCAUGCCGCGUGAGUGAUGAAGGCCCUAGGGUUGUAAAGCUCUUUCACCGGUGAAGAUAAUGACGGUAACCGGAGAAGAAGCCCCGGCUAACUUCGUGCCAGCCGCCGCAGUAAAAC